rnacentral:misc_RNA from 1 species
AGUUGAUCAAAACCCUUCCCUGAGUUUGCGUUUGUAGUAAAAUUAAUGGAGGAAGAUCAGAAUAAGAACAAGGAAGUUGCCGCAAAUUGCAAUAGUGAUGAUGAUGAUGAGAAAUACGUCAAUUCGCUUCCAGUUGGGUAUCGAUUUGCACCUCAUGAUGAUGAGCUGAUUCUUCACUACUUACUGAAAAAGAUCAAGAAACCUCCCUUACCUCGUAACAGGAUUCAUGAGGUUGAUUUGUAUAAAUAUAGCCCUCGAAAGCUCACUGAAAUCUGUAAACUGAAUAGAGCAAGAGAAAGCGAGUGGUACUUUUUCACUUCGAGGGAGAAAAAAUACCCAAAUGGGUGUAGACCAAAUCGAAGUGCUGGAGAUGGAUUUUGGAAGCCUACAGGAACUGAUUAAGCCAUCCCAAAUGACAAAAAACCUGUUGGUUUUAGAAAAUCUUUGGAUUAUUAUUCAGGGAAGCAAGCUGAAGGAAGGAAAACGGACUGGAAGUAUUUCUUCAGCUACUACUUCCAGACCCAAAAGCCCAUUGCAACCUAUGCUGGCAUUUAUUGAAUUUCUUCUUUUUCUUUUUUUUGUUUUAAUUUCGUUGAUGA